rnacentral:rRNA from 1 species
GACGAACGCUGGCGGCGUGUUUAACACAUGCAAGUCGAACGGUGAAGCCCUUCGGGGUGGAUCAGUGGCGAACGGGUGAGUAACACGUGAGCAAUCUGCCCUUGACUCUGGGAUAACUUCGGGAAACCGGAGCUAAUACCGGAUAUGACAUACGGCCGCAUGGUCUGUGUGUGGAAAGAUUUAUUGGUCAGGGAUGAGCUCGCGGCCUAUCAGCUUGUUGGGGGUAAUGGCCUACCAAGGCGACGACGGGUAGCCGGCCUGAGAGGGUGACCGGCCACACUGGGACUGAGACACGGCCCAGACUCCUACGGGAGGCAGCAGUGGGGAAUAUUGGACAAUGGGCGAAAGCCUGAUCCAGCAACGCCGCGUGA